rnacentral:lncRNA from 1 species
AAAAACAAAAACAGAAAUUAAAUAUAAAAUAAAUAAAUAACUGACAAAUUAAAAUGCAACUAAAAUAAAUAUAACACAUAUAUAGAUAAAAACUAGAAAUACUAAUGUAUAAAUGUAGUUUAUAUAAUAUUCCAAAUGCGAUAAUAUAAGGUGAGUUAUGUAAAUACGAGAAAUGUAAAAAAUGAGAUAAAAUAAGAUUAAAUGGUGAGAUCAUGUAGUGGGGAUGUCAUCUUCCUGAGAGGAACCACGGAGCAUGGCAACUUCUUGCUUGAGUUCUG